rnacentral:rRNA from 1 species
GUUUAUAGCUAUACUACUGUAUACCUUCGCAGCUCUUACCUGACCUCAGAAACCAAGCAGGAUUGAGUCUGUUUAUUACUUGGAUGGGAGACCACUAGGAUGCAUAAUACUGUCAACU